GUAGUCUGCAACCCGACUACAUGAAGCUGGAAUCGCUAGUAAUCGCGAAUCAGAAUGUCGCGGUGAAUACGUUCCCGGGUCUUGUACACACCGCCCGUCACACCAUGGGAGUCGGAAAUGCCCGAAGUCAGUGACCCAACCGCAAGGAGGGAGCUGCCGAAGGUGGAGCCGGUAACUGGGGUGAAGUCGUAACAAGGUAUC
rnacentral:rRNA from 1 species